rnacentral:rRNA from 1 species
CCUACGGGUGGCAGCAGUGGGGAAUAUUGCACAAUGGAGGGAACUCUGAUGCAGCGACGCCGCGUGAGUGAAGAAGUACUUCGUUUUGUAAAGCUUUAUCAGCAGGGAAGAAAGUGACGGUACCUGAAAAAGAAGCUCCGGCUAAAUACGUGCCAGCAGCCGCCGUAAUACGUAGGGAGCAAGCGUUAUCCGGAUUUACUGGGUGUAAAGGGAGAGUAGGUGGGAAAGGAAGUCCGAAGGGAAAACCCCAGGCGAAACUAAGGGAAUGCAUGCGAAACUGCACUGCUAGAGUGCAGGAGAGGCAAGUGGAAUGCUUAGUGUAGCGGUGAAAUGCGUAGAUAUUAGGAGGAACACCAGUGGCGAAGGCGGCUUACUGGACUGUAACUGACGUUGAGGCACGAAAGCGUGGGGAGCAAACAGGAUUAGAUACCCUUGUAGUC